AACGAACGCUGGCGGUGUGGAUUAGGCAUGCAAGUCGAACGAGAAAGAUUCCUUCGGGAAUUGAGUACAGUGGCAAACGGGUGAGUAACGCGUGGGGAACCUACCUUUUAAUUGGGGACAACACUUCUAACGAGGUGCUAAUACCGGAUAAGAUCUUUCCGUCGCAUGGCGGAUUGAUGAAAGGCGGCCUCUAUUUAUAAGCCGUCGCUGAAAGAUGGCCCCGCGUCCCAUUAGCUUGUUGGUGAGGUAACGGCCCACCAAGGCAACGAUGGGUAGCCGGCCUUAGCGGGUGACCGGCCACACUGGGACUGAGAUACGGCCCAGACUCCUACGGGUGGCUG
rnacentral:rRNA from 1 species